rnacentral:lncRNA from 14 species
AUAACUCCGAGGGAUACAGCAAGGCCGUGGGAGGCCCGAGGAAGCUUAAGCAAGCAAGAUAAGAAGAAGGCUGUUCAGCUGGAGGAGCUACUGGCAGUGUGUUGCUGUGUGUGUGCUGUUGGAAAUACAGAGACUAGAAAGAGCAAGGUACCUGCGUACCUAUGCAGUGUGUUUUCUAUCUUACAGUGUAAAGAAAUUGCCAUAGCUCUUGCAGAAAAUGUUCUGUGUGUUGCUCUUGUCUUAGACUGCAGUGUAGUAGCAGCCUGUUCAGGCCACCUGAUCAGCCACAUGAUGCGAAGUGGCAAAGCUCAAACAUUGCCAGUAAAUUCUACAUUUUGUGUUGUUAGCAUGCUCCAAAGUAAAAUUAAUUGUGGUACCAACUAAUGAGCAUUCAAUUUGACAGAUAAGCUGAGUAAUACUUUUUUUUUUCUGAAAGAAACAGCUGGAUAGCUUAAUUAGGCUUCUAGAGAGAAAUAGUGGAAUAUAUUUCCAAAACACUAGACACAUACUUCUAAUGCUUGCCUAUUUCUGCUGCUAAAUGUUGGCAGCUGCAUGGAUUUUAUUCUCCAUUUAACACUUCCUAUUAGAAUCAACUGCAGAGUACAACCAUAUCAGAAUAGGAGUCCCUUAGUCUAAAUGGAAAUAUGGGACUAAGCUAGCAACAGGGGCAUGAGUGAAUCAAGGUGAACAGUUGACUAAGGCCAGAGAUUUUCAAUCAGAGACACAGCUCAGAAGAAAGUCAAGAAAGAUUCCUGUUGUAUCAAAAUUAAGUCACUAAUGUGCAGCCCGUUCCUCUGCUUCAGAUGCUGAAAGUUCAUCACACAUACAUGAACAUGAAAGAAAAACCUGUGCAGAAUGACCUUAAUCCAGAAGUUCCAUCAACUGAUGAACUGUUUGGCUUGAAACACCAUGCAACCAAAGAAAGAUGGCAGGUAGCAAUCCUUUUUAUUUGACCUGUUCCUGGGGCCAUUGUUCUCCAUCAAAAAGGGACAAUGCCAGAGUUCAGAGAAGGUGGUUUACCGAAUUCUUGUGUUUUUUCUGUGUUCUGAUACAAUGAGAUGUGGGUGCAUAGGACUGGUGUUUGUGGAACAACUGGAUGGCAAGGCAGGGCAAGGUGCUAGUAGGCAGAAAAAUACUAACCUGAAGAGUGCUGAUUCAGCUGCAUUAAAGGGAGCACAACACCCUUGAAACCUCCGCUUUCUCACCCACAUCAUUAAGACUAAUGCCAUAUUCUCCUGUAAUCCAAACAGAAAUAGGUCAUUAUUACAUAAAACGCAGUCAUUUUGCUGUAUCAAGUGAUCACUGAAAGCAUUUUUUUUCAUUUUACUUAGAAUAGUGACCUAAUAAGCAAGCAAAGGAAAAAAACA